GCGGCUCUGACCCAACUGGCAGAGGUAUCGGGUCGAGGGCCCGAUUGUUCGGGGUUCGAGUCCCCGGGGCCGCA
rnacentral:tRNA from 1 species